CAGCCGUAAACUAUGCUCGCUAGGUGUCAGGCAUGGCGCGACCGUGUCUGGUGCCGCAGGGAAGCCGUGAAGCGAGCCACCUGGGAAGUACGGCCGCAAGGCUGAAACUUAAAGGAAUUGGCGGGGGGAGCACAACAACGGGUGGAGCCUGCGGUUUAAUGGACUCAACGCCGGACAACUCACCGGGGGACGACAGCAAUAUGUAGGCCGGGCUGAAGACCUUGCCUGAAUCGCUGAGAGGAGGUGCAUGGCGUAGACGUCU
rnacentral:rRNA from 1 species